rnacentral:rRNA from 1 species
UACGUAGGGGGCAAGCGUUGUCCGGAUUUAUUGGGCGUAAAGCGCGCGCAGGCGGUCCUUUAAGUCUGAUGUGAAAUCCCACGGCUCAACCGUGGAAGGUCAUUGGAAACUGGGGGACUUGAGUACAGAAGAGGAAAGCGGAAUUCCAAGUGUAGCGGUGAAAUGCGUAGAGAUUUGGAGGAACACCAGUGGCGAAGGCGGCUUUCUGGUCUGUAACUGACGCUGAGGCGCGAAAGCGUGGGGAGCAAACAGG